rnacentral:misc_RNA from 1 species
CGUACUCGAGCCGUUAUGGGUGUCACGUUCUCUUGAAUUCCUGACUUUUCGAGCGAAUUGCUCUGUUUUCACAUUAUUACUGUUGUACGUAGCAGAUAUUUUCUAAGAAAUUAAAAUGAGCAUUCGACGGAGACGUGCCCAUAAUUUUGCAGAUUCCUUAAAUAGUUUUCGUCAAACAAUAAAUAAGGAUGAAUCAAAUCAGAUAUCAGAUGAAUUUCAUAAACAUAGCUGUUCGGAGAAUACAUCUUGUGUUGAGUCUGUAAUUCUAGCUGGUAGUUCAACCAAUCAGCAAUUUAUCUCAGAUUCGUGCAAUAUUGCUGAGGAAAGCUAUAAUAUAGCAUGUAAAAACAGGCAUCCUUUGUUGAUAGAUGAUGCAUUGAUUGUAUCAGAUGGAACAUCAUAUUUGUCAAUCAAACCAGACUUGAAUAAAUGUAUAAAUUUAUUUAAUAAUGAAUACCUGAAUAAUGAAUAUGAUGGUGCUAAAAAACAAUUAAGUUCUACACUAUUUGAAACUAAUGUCAGCCAAGACAUUAAUUUUUGUAAUUUAAAUAAAAAGUUCAUGGGACAACAGGACCUUAAUAAUCGACCACGUUCUAUGUCAGCAGAGUCACUGAGAAAUAUAAUACUUAAUCGAGAACUUAAAAGAUCAAAAAGUUACACUGUGCUUGAUAAAGCUUUGAGGAGGGAUAGGAAUUACAAUAUUAAAGGUGACCGGCUUUCUUUUCCUAUUAAAAAUACAAUGAAAAAAAUAAGUUGCAAGGAAGUUGAAAUAGUCGUUCCUUCUUUUGAAGCAUUAUCAUUAUCAAAACAUUCUGUUUUAUUAAACAGAAAAGAUGAUUCUUCAAAAGAAAAUCAGCUUGAUUCAAACAGCGAAGUGAGUUCCAAAGACGAACUUGGUCCUUUUGAGUUAAAAACAUUGCUACAGUCAUUGGCAGAUCAAAAGCUAUUGAAAGAAACAGCUGUGCAACAACGUUUAUUAAGGCGUUUAUCUGUAGAUUACCACGAUGCACCAAAAGCCUUUACAGAAAAUUUACUAACGAUAAUCGAAGAAUCUGUUAUAAAUAACGAUUCUCAUGCACAGUCACAAUAUCCAGAACUCAGUUUAUUUAGAUUUAAUGAAGAACUUCGAAAAAUGCGUAAAUUUCUAGAGGACGAGACCGUUCCUGAAUGGCCAGAGUCUCCUGGUAUGUCGACACCAAUUUGUACGAAAAGAAAAAGCCAAGAGUCUAACAUUCUUUUGCGAAAAUCUCUGAGUGCUUUAUCUCCAGAUAGCCUACAUUUUACAACGCCUGUUUCUUCCCAAUGUAAUACUAAAAGCCCCAAGAAAGCGUGUUGGCGUAUGUCAAAAAAUACUUCCUAUGUUACGAAAAAUUUAUUGAACGAUACAAAUACGUUUGAAAGUUUAGAAACGAUGUGCAAAAAGUUAUUUCCUGAUAAUGACUAUACUGUCCCAAGGGAGAAGAAUUUGUCACAGUCUCCUUUACAAAAUAUGGCUAAUAUCUUGCGUACCUGUGAAAACCAAAUGGCCUCUCUGGAAAAUUCACCUAUCAUUCAUGAGCAGAUAAAAAAAGCUGGAAUGUGUGGAACUUUGGACUCAACAUACCAGCACAAUAAAUUAUCUGAAGAGAAUCUGGAAUAUAGAUUGUUACUAAAUGAAAAGUACGAUAGAAUGGAUUCGGAGGCAGUACUUGAUAUACUUAAGCAGCAAACAGAAGAUGGUAAGCGUCAAGAAAUGAUCGAAACGAACGAUUUUGAGAGUACGGUCAUGUAUGAGAUUGCGAAAAAAAGACAGAGGUGCCUCGACACAGCAAAGAUAGUGAUGGAAAUUGACGAAAAUUUCAAGCCGAUGGAAGAAAUUCAUCCAAAUAUCAACGAUUCUUCGAUUGAGGUUGACAAUAAAUUAAUGAAAACUCUCAUGAGUGUAAAGAAAUAUCAAGAUUAUUUGGAAAAGUACAAAUCUUUGCUCAAUUUAUUUCAUCGAACAAGAUUGAGCAGUCCUCGCACUCCUUGUGACAGACAAGAUCUCCAAGCCGAGAAAAUGUUCAACAAAGAUAUUUGCGCGCUAUCAGUCGUAUUAGAGGAUGAGCAAACUUUACAAGUACCGAAGCCUUCACCGAGAAAGAAGAGUAUUAGUCCUUCGUCGACAAAAAAAACGGUUGCUACAAAGCCACGAUUAUUUAUAACUCCUGGAAAGACACUUGUUAACAAGAAUUGUAAGCCAAAACGCACGUACUUUCCCAAUUUACUACCGGGAAUGAAUAAGCAAAACAAGCAUGUAAGUCCUCAAGCAAAGAACAUUUAUCGACAAAUAGGAAAUUAUGAUCAUGUAAUAUCGCCAGUUGGAAUGUACAUAAAAGGCGCUGAGUCCCAUCUGAUUAAAAAUCUGAAACCUAUAACAGAUAAAAUGCUAUUAACACCUAAAAAAAAGACUACACAAUUGUCCAAUUCAAAAAUGAAACUUCAGCUCUCUCCAAAACCAAAAAAGAAGUUGACUGGGACAAUAGGAGAUGAAAAUGUUGCCGAUAACUUUUUACAUCCAAAAAUGCAUUACAAUUAUCCAUCGCAUUCACGUAAGAAACAGAAAAUCUAAAAGUGAGAAAUUAUGAAACCGAAUGAUUGCAUUGUAUAAUACAAAAAAAAAGAUCUCAUACGAAGGAGGUACAAAAUCAAUCUAAACACAUGGACUAACCCGAAGUUCUACAGAA